UACGGGGGGAGCAAGCGUUGUUCGGAUUUACUGGGCGUAAAGGGCGCGUAGGCGGCCACCGCAAGUCGGUUGUGAAAUCUCUGGGCUUAACCCAGAAAGGUCAACUGAUACUGUGCGACUAGAGUGCAGAAGGGGCAACUGGAAUUCUCGGUGUAGCGGUGAAAUGCGUAGAUAUCGAGAGGAACACCUGCGGCGAAGGCGGGUUGCUGGGCUGACACUGACGCUGAUGCGCGAAAGCCAGGGGAGCGAACCGG
rnacentral:rRNA from 1 species